GUAUUGUAUUGCGUUAAACGCGGCGUUACAUUCCACCAGACUUCAUUACUGCGUGUGUGUAAAGACGUAGAACUACAGAAGGGAACCAGAGCCCCCUAGACCGUAGAACUACAAGAGGUGCACAGGUGUGAGUGGAUGUGUAAACAGAGCGUGCACGUGCCCUCGUUUGAAGGCCAGCAACAACUCGUGUCGACAAUUCUGUAAUGAUCCUUCCGCAGGUUCACCUACGGAAA
rnacentral:misc_RNA from 1 species